UACAGAGACCUCAAGCGUUAUCCGGAAUCAUUGGGCGUAAAGAGCUCGUAGGCGGCUUGUCGCGUCUGCCGUGAAAGUCCGGGGCUCAACUCCGGAUCUGCGGUGGGUACGGGCAGACUAGAGUGAUGUAGGGGAGACUGGAAUUCCUGGUGUAGCGGUGAAAUGCGCAGAUAUCAGGAGGAACACCGAUGGCGAAGGCAGGUCUCUGGGCAUUAACUGACGCUGAGGAGCGAAAGCAUGGGGAGCGAACAGG
rnacentral:rRNA from 1 species